CACCGCAUUAGUGCAACAAAGAAAUCAGCAGCUGAGAAAUCAAGCAAUGUGAGAUGUUCCAAGUUUGCUAGAGUUGCUUCUGCUAAAUUUGGAUUAGGAGACUUUUUAGAGACUUUUUUUUUUUUGAUCGACAAUAAAAAGUUAAUGCUGGUAGCUUUUUAGAGUCUGCUUAUAAUAUUACCUUUUUACUGUUUCUGUUUAUAGGUUUCGUUUGAAUUUCUCAUAUUAUUGUUUUGGCUUCUGUGUAGGACUCUUUGCUGAAUUUAGAUAGUGAUGUGGGAUGUAUUUUCGGAAGAGAAUGACAUAGAUGGGGAGGUUUUGUUUAAAUAGUGUGUAGGACCAUCUACUAAUACACUUUUGCUUAUUGGAGAAAUAUAUAUUUAGAGAAACAAAUCAUGAAAUUUGACCAUAAUAGCUCUGUCAGAUAAAUUCCUACCACUAAAACCUCACUGCAAAGAAUGACUGAGAAGUCUACUAACACAAAAUUUCACUGCAAAGCGGCGAUUUAGUUUGUUGUGGCUUUGCCUUAUAGUGGUGCAACGGUUAUUUCAAUAUUCCAGAUGUGUAAACGAAAUUUAGUAUGAAAAACACACAUAAUACAUAAUCUGAAUAGAGAUCGUCGAAUUGAACAAAAAUCAUUUUCAUAUGAUGCAAUAACACAUCACAAGAAUAACACACUUUAGAGUCAAAAUGGAAUCAAAACACGUAGAUGUGGGUAUAAUUAACAUAUAGGCGCCAAAUGAGAUUUAUAUAGAAAGGUAAGGACGUGAUAGACAGUUGAAAUGAAGCAGAUAAUGAAAUAAUGAACGGUGCGAAACCAUUGACGUAGUUUCUAAUUCAGGUGGUAAUUUAGAUUUAAUUUGCAUAAGAAAACAGAAAUUUUAGGAAAACUCUCAAUUAACGAGGUCCAAUGAUGAAAAUGGACGGAUUAUGCACUUGAAUGAGAACAUUGUAGUAACUGAUAAUUAUUUGAAUUGUAUGCAUCGGGGUUCGUGAAGUUACACUUGUGGUGCUAGCUCAAUAUGAUGCUUACGUUUGUAAGAGUAACUGAUAUUUGUUCCUUCAUAUUUCUGGCGCUUUGUGGGUGUUCUGCUCUUUGUGUUGAUGGUUUUGCUAUUACAUUUGGUCCUGAAUCUGAGUGACUUCACUUGUAGCUUUUUCUUGAAAAGCUACAGCAAUAAUAUUUUGAAAUUUUGGCCCUAGUGUAAUAAGCUCCUUAGUGUAAUGGAUUUGGCAGAAACCAUUAUUUUCUUAACUAAUAAUGGAUCAUUCAGUUUGGUUCAAAAAUUGGAAUAGCGCUAAAUGUUGUAUAUCUAAGCUCAAAGUCUGUUGUAAAAACAUAAAGGAAGGCCAGCAAUGUUGAAAAUCAACCCUAAAGCAACAUCAGUAGAAAAAUACCCUCAUAUUCAGUAUGUGUAUAACUGCCAAUGUCUAAAUAAAUCAUUGUGAUAAUUGGUUGAUAAAUAUUAAAAGCAGAAGCAUUUUCUGAUAAAUAUUCAGUAUGAUAAUUGGUUUGAUUAAGGCCCUCUUUUAUCCCAUAAGUAAAUCCCAACUCAUUCUAAAUAUAUUUUUCAGUACCAAUUCAAGCCAAAAUCAUAUGAUGAAGUUAAAAAAAGUGGCUGAGGCGGCGGCUUAUCACCAUUGCAUUGUAGAAAUUAUGCAAAUCAUUGUUUUUCCAUGCUAAUAUAUUUCGUACAAAAUAUUACGAAAUAGCGGCUAUAACACUGCUAUAGCACUUUUUCAUAGCAGAGUUUUAUUAAACCAUGUUUAUAUAACUAGAGUUAGUUAAGGUAGUUACAGUCAGUUAGAUUUUAGUUAGAGAAUUAUAGUUAGUUAAACAAUUAGUUAGUAUAACUGGUAUCUAUAAAUAAAACCACCCUUGGAAACACACUUCUAAACACUUUCUACUUCAACAGUUUCAUUUCUUAUCUUCAAGAAGGAAAGUUAACUGUUUCUAAUUAAUCAGCCUCCCAUAUACACUUUGCAAUCAAGAAACCGACCAAACCAAUCACUAAAUGACCAAGACUAAGCCCUCUUCUUCCACUACGAACCCACAACACAAACCAUUUCAAGUCUCCAACAGGAACUUUACUGAAAGAGCAUUGUUGUUCAAGAAUGUCAGCACAAGGAGAGUAUUGUCAAAGGUUCAAAGAAACACUGAAACCAAGGAAACACCAAUCAAGAAACUGCAUUUAAAACGUCGUUGUGAAGAUGCAACUUCAGGUAACAAGCCGUCUUUGACUUCCGAUGACUCCAGAAGAAAGAAAGUAAAAACUACAUUAGGUAACUUCCGUGCUCUCUGUGGAAAACUCGGUAAGGAACUUACCACCGACGGGCUUCAUAUCGAAGUGUCACAGAUUCUAAAAAACAGAGGAAAAUUCAUUCAUGAUGGGAAAAAAAUUAUUGGAAAGGUCUCUGGAAUUGAAGUAGGUGACAAGUUUAUUUAUUGGCAAGAACUCAAUGUUGUUGGUCUUCAUCGUCAGAAUUUAAGUCUCAUUGAUCACGUGUUAAAGGAUGGGAAUUUGAUUGCAACUAGCGUUGUUUCUUGUCAUUUUGAUGAUAUGGAUGAUACAAACGUGUUCGUAUAUACAGGGGAAGGAGGUAAUGUCAUUAAUUCUGGAAAAUGUGAUGAAGAGACUCUUGCUCUUAUGAAUAGUUAUCAUGUUAAGAAUCCUAUUAGAGUUAUUAUAAAGUUUAAUUCAAAGAACUGUGGUGGUGGUGCACGUGGUGGAGGUGAGGUGUAUUGUUACUAUGGUCUUUAUAAAGUUGAAUCAAUUUGGAAAAAAAAAGGUAAAUUAGAUUUUAAAUUUUGUUUGGUUAGAUUGCCUGAUCAGAAAAUCUUUGUUAAAGAUAUUUCCAAUGGAAAAGAAGCUGUUCCUAUAUGUGUGGUUAAUCAUAUAGAUUCUGGCAAGGUUCCAUAUUUUCAAUACAUUACUCGUAACAUUUAUCCUGAAUGGCUUUUCAAUGAUUCCUCUGUUGGGCGUACAUGUGUUGAUCAUUGUUCUGAUUCAAUGAAAUGUUCCUGUGCUCUUAAGAGUGGAGGGAAAAUUCCGAGCGUAAAGAAAAAUGAGAUUAAAUUUAAGCUUCAAAUUUUCAAGACAAAGGCGAAAGGAUGGGGUGUGAGAUCAGAGAAUGCAAUUCCUUCUGGAAAUUUUAUUAUUUGUGAGUAUUUAGGUGAGAUUAUUGAAGAUGAGGAAGCUUUGAAAAAGGUUGAUAAUGAUGAGUAUUUAUUUAAUAUUGGCAAUUAUAUUCACAAGGUCUAUAGUUCAUGGGAAGAGGAUUCAUAUGUGGUUGAUAGUAAGGAGAUGAAUUCAUAUCAACCCUUAGAAGCUUCGGGCGGUAAAGAGGGCGUUGAUGAUCGAUGUGAUAGUGGUAGGUUUACCAUUGAUGCUGCUAAGUAUGGUAACGUGGCAAGGUUUAUCAACCAUAGUUGUUCUCCCAAUUUGUUUGUUCGAAAUGUUCUUUACGAUGAUGAUGUUCCAAGGAUUCCACACAUCAUGCUAUAUGCAGCUGAGAACAUUCCGAGCAUGAAAGAGCUGACUUUAGAUUACAAUUAAAAGAUCGAUCAAGAGAUUGAUUCAAAUGGAAAUUUAAAGACGAAAGCAUGUUAUUGUGGAGCUUCUGAAUGCAUCCGUCGACUAUAUUGAUGAGGUAAUUCUUUUUUACUUUGGCCCUCUCAUUCUGUCUUGCUCAUAAAUUUAUUUUCUUCUCUGUCUUGCUCAUAAUUUAAAGACGAAAGCAUGUUAUUGCAGUAGAUGAGAACAUUAUUGAUGAGCUUCUCAUAUUUUUUGAAUUAUAACUCUAAUAGGUGAUAUUCAAGCCGUGCUGUUUCAGUAGAUGAAGGGGAAGGAAAAAUAAAUGUGGAAGCAAUUAAGCCUCCAUCUAUGAUCUUUUUCUUGCAGACAAAUAUUACUUUAUAUAGUUUUUAGUUCCCUUGCAACUGCAAUGUUAUUCAACAGAAACAAUAGAUUGGUACAACAGUGUAAUUACUUGAGUAAUACAUUAUUUUUGGAUGAAGUUGAACAUGUCUUGUUUAGAUUUUUGCUACAACAUGAUUUUCAGUGUAUAUCAGUACUGAUGAAUUAUUGUAUUUCUCAUUGCAUCAUGCUUCAUUUAGAUCAAUACUGAUUUCUGUUGAUCUUAAAAUAGUGCUUGUUGUGCUUCCUAUUUAUCAACGAUCUAAAUUUCAUGUGUUGAGCAUCUAUAAAUGUAGUUAUGUUUGUACAAAAAGUUACUAUGAGAUUAAAAGCUGAAUGGGGGAGCGCGAUAGAAACAUCAUUAUCAUGAAAAAUUGCAGAUAGAGCACAAAAGAGAGGAAAUUUCUUAAGAAUUUGCGGAAGAAAAUACAGAUUGUAGAAAAACUCUCAAUUAAUAAGGUCAAAUAAUGAAAAUGGAUGAAUUAUGCACAAGAAUGAGAACAUUGUGAAUUUGCGGAAGAAAAUACAGAUUGUAGAAAAACUCUCAAUUAAUAAGGUCAAAUAAUGAAAAUGGAUGAAUUAUGCACAAGAAUGAGAACAUUGUAUUAACGUUUUGUUAUAUGAAUAUUAUGCAUGAGUUCAUUCAGUAUUGUAAUAAAUAUUGAUCAUGGGAAUUAGUGUCAUGAACGGUUGUAAAAUGGCUAUUAGUGUCAUGAACGCAUAUUUCUACAUGAAAAUGUGAUGAAAUGCGAUAUAGAGCUUUCUGAAUAAUUAGGACCUUAUUUGACUCAUGGUUGACCCUGUGAUAUUUAUUCAAGACCAAUAUGAUGUUUAUGUCAGUAAGAGUAACUGACAUUUGUUCCUUCCUUUUUCUAUAUUUUCUAUUCCGGUUUCUGGCGCUUUGAGGGUGUUGGUGGGUUUUAUCUUUAGGAGUUUUUGUUGCUCUUGGGGUGUCGGUUGUUUCUGUCUUUAUCCUUCUUUUAUUGCAUUUUUCUAUUUCUUUAGGAGUAAUUUGUGUUAGCCAUCUGCCAACACAAAUUCCUGCACCAAUUCAAACCAAAAUCAGAUGAUACCUGAAUAUUGUUAAAUAAUAAAUAGUAGUUGCAGCGGCGUGUCACCAUUGCAUUGCAGAAUUUACACAAAUCAUUGUUUUUUUGCGAUACUUUAUUUAGCACAAAGUAUUACGAAAUAGCGGCUAUAGUGGUGCUAAAGCAAUCUUGCACAGCAGAAUUUUAUCAAACCACUUUUCACAACACUGCACGUUCGCGCCUGACAGGAAAAUUCACAGUAGGGGGAAGAUGGACAUGCCCCAGUUUGGCGGCAGAGGUGUGCCUAUCGGUGGUUGAUUUGUUCGAGAAUCAUUAAGUUGCUGGAGGCGGUGAAAUUCUUGCGAAAACGUGCAUACGGUGGCAGCUGUGGAGUUGAUGCCAUCUACAUAUGCUAGUUAGCGAAUUUUUCACUACUUUGGCAUUUUAAGCCUGAGGAUAGAGAGCUGUUUUACCUAUAUCUGAUGAAGAAGAGGAAUCGGAAUUGGAAUGGUAGUCGUUGACGUUCUCAUUCAGACAGUAGAAGUGAAAAAUGAGGAAAAGGCAGAGAAUGCAUAAGAAAGGGAUGCAGAAAAUUCCUCUGUGAAUGUCAUCUAGAGUGUCAAGACAUGUUGGUAGUAAUUUAGUCCGUCGCAAAUGAGAACAUACUUCCUAUUCUAAGGAACUGAAAAUACCUUAGUUUGGGAAGCACUUCAUUUCUGUUUUGCACAUUUUCUUAGUUAAAAUGGCUCUAAUCAUGAAAACAAACCCAGCAGUGCUUGCAGGAAAACUCUUUACUAUCACCAAAUUUUAAAAAAAACAAUGAUUUUUAUUUUUUGAAGGAUAAGGUAAAUUUUUUUUUUUUUGCUACAAAAGGAUAAGGUAAUUAAAAAUCUACUAACAAUAUAUAAAAGUUGGAUUACAGCAAAAUUUCGUAAUCGUCAUCUUUAAAACUGAUAUCCUUAUUUUUAUGUGCAUAAUGGUGAUUUUACAAAAUUUAAUUUAAUUUGUUUUAAAUUAAUUAUGGAUAAUGGUCGUCAUUGUAACAAAUUUUCACGGAUAACUAUGAAAUUAAUUAAUUUGUUAAAAAAAUUAAAGAUAAUUGUGAUCACUAACAAAUUUUUUGUAAAAAAAAAAAAAAGUCUAACAAAUUUUUAUGGAUAACUAUAUAUAUAAAAACAUAUAUAUAAAAAUUGAAAUCCAACAAAAUUUCAAAAUUGUCUUUUAAAAGCCAAUAUCAUGAUAAUUACGGAUGAUUAUCUUUCCAAUUCCACACAACGUACAAAUUUAUAUAUCUAACUUAGUCAACAAAAAUUAAAUAUCUAUUUCUACUAUUAAUUUACUGCUACUGUAAUAAGUAAAUUAGAAAAUAAUUUCAUAAUUAUCGUCGAUUAAACUCAUAAUCUUCUUAAUUUUAUGGGUUCAUUCGUCAUUUUACAAUAUAAAAAUCUAAUUUAUUUAUUUUUUAAAAAUUAUUAUAUAUAUUUUUUUGUUUAUCUUUUUUUUUUUUUGAUGGUGGCCAAGGUUUGAACCUCAGACCUUGCAUAUAUUAUUAAUUGUCCAUAUCAACUGAGCUAAGCUCUCGCGAGGACAUAUUUCCUUAUGUAUCAUCAUUUUUCAGAUUAAUCACUUUCAACUUCCAAGCCUAACUAAUUCUCUAUAUCAUAAUUUAGUAUAUUUAUCACUUCAGAGUAGGGCUGGAAAUGAGUCGAGUCGAACCAAACCUGCCUGAGCUCGGCUUGACUCGAUAAGAAUUGGUUCGGCUCGAGUUCGACACGAACUAUUUUUUCAGCUCGAGUUCGGCUCGUUUAAAGUUCAUGAACAGUUCGGUUCGGCUCGUUAGGUUCAGUUCGGUUUGCUCAACUCAUCCAAAAAAACUUAUAAACAAAAAUUAACUUAUAGAUCUUUGAUAUUAUAUAUAUAUAUAUAUAUAUAUAUAUAUAUAUAUAUAUAUAUAUAUAUAUGUAUAUAUAUUUUAAAAUUAAAUAUUGAAUUAAAAUAAAAGUUCCCAAAAGCAUGCAUAUAAUAGACAUAAAUUAUAUAAAGUUAAAGGUUGCAUAAAUACGAAGAAAAAUAUCUUAUACAAGUAACAGAGACAAAAAAUCCAACAAAAUUCAAUUAGUUGUGAACAAAAUUCAUAAUAUUCUUUUACUUUUAAACUCCCACUGCUCUUCCCUUCAAGACAAAAUUGUAUUCAGCCACAUUUGCCACAUUUGAAUUAAUAAAAUUUAAAAACUAACUAAAAUUGAUUUAUAUAUAUAAUCGAUAAUCGAGCCAUCUCAUGAAGCUAACGAGUCGAACUAGAUGUAGCUCAAGUUCAGCUCAUUUAAUUAACGAACUUAAUUUUCAGCUCAAGUCCAGCUCGUUAGGUUCAUGAACUAUAAUCGAGUUGGUUCGGUUCAUUGCCAGCCCUACUUCAGAGCCUCUAUACCGUAAUUUUGUAGAUUUAUCAUUUCCAAAUCUAACUAAUUCUUCUGGUUUAUCACUUCCAACCCUAAAAUCAGUUCCAUAAAUCUUGCAAAUAAAAAAUGUCAAUUUAUUUCAUCUUUCUUCUGCUUAUGAUUUGAUUCCCUUUAUCUUACAUAUUUAAUUAUUUUUUUGGUUAUCACCAUGAAGCCUACAACUAAUUCCCUUUAUUAUACAAAUAAAAAAGUCAUUUUGCUUUCAGGUUAUAACAAACCAAACUGGAAAGGCAAGAAAGUUCGCGUCUUUAUUUAUUUUUCAAUACAUGUUGCCGAAUGUAUAUUUUUGUAUUGAAAUCAUUUUUUAUAAAGACUAAACUUAAAAUGUUUCAAUUUUAUAGGGACCAAAUACAUAUUUAAUCCUUGAUAGUAUAAAUUUAUAUUAGAUAGUUAAUAAUUAAUGAUCAUUGAUUAGAAAUAUGAUAGUGUAAAAUAUUCAUAUGAGUUAAUGUAGUGCAUGAAGGCACAUUUGAAUUUUAAGCAAGACAAAUAACCUUAUAGUUCAAAAAUAUUUAUUUGAAAAUUUAUGCUCUAUCUCAAUGUCUUCAGAUUUUUCAUAUUUUCGUAUAAUUGUCCUCUUUUUUACUAAUUAUUUUCAUUGAAGUAAUUAUACAUUUUUUAUUAUUAUCAAGACACAAUUAUCUCUUUAAUUAUUGAUAAUGAUCAAAGUUUGGUUGCAAAUUCAUUACCAACACGUAUAAUUGCAUCUAAAAUAAUUUCAUCAGUCUCCAUUUCACAUUGAACAUCUUCCUCCUCGGUAUUAGAAACGAAAGCUAUGUUUUUCUUCUUAAACCCUUUAGCUAAUUCAAAAGUUUGAAGAGAUCCAAUUAGCUCAUCAACCUUCAUACCAGGGAUGUCUUAUGCUUCUUCAAUCGUAGUCACCUUCAUAUCAAAUCUCUUAGGUAGAGAUCUGAGAAUCUUUCUUACGAGCUUAUCAUCAGACAUCUUUUCUCCAAUAUAGUCAAAGGAGUUAGCAAUGUCAAGAUGUUCAAAUAAUAAUCAUGUAUGUUCUCAUCCUCCAUGAUUUUUAGAUUUUCAAACUUUGUAGUUAGAAGUUGAAGCCUUAACAUUUUCACUUUAGAUGUACCUUAGUGUGUAGAUUUGAGAAUUCCCCAAGCAUCCUUAGCUACAGAGCAUUGCUUGAUCAAUCUGAACAUAUUCUUGUCCACUCCAUGGAAUAAAGCGUUCAAAGCCUUCGAGUUUUCAAGAGCUAAUCCAUCUUCUUCCUUGGACCACUCUCCUUCUGGUUUCAGAUCAACUGUCUUGUUUCCAUCUUUGUCAAGCACAACAGGAUGUUCCCAACCAUUCAGAACAACUUUCAAUGUCUUUCUAUCUACGGAUUUGAGGAAAGCAAUCAUGCGUGAUUUCCAAUCAUCAUAGUUGGAGCCGUCCAACAAAGGAGGUCUGUUCAUAAAUCCUCCUUCCUUGUCCAUAAUGCCAGAAAGUAUCUUCCCUAGAGCUCACCCUAAAACAGGUAGGGUUCCUGCACCGAUACCAAUUGAAAUUCUAGCGUACAGGUUUUAUGCAAUGUUUCAACGUCAGUCACACAGUAGGAAAAUGUUCCGCUUAAUGUUUCAACAUCAUGCAAAACAAAUAAAACACAGAAAAAAAAUGACAACAAAGUAAAAAGGCACUGGAAGUUUGUUAACCCAAUUCGAUGCAACGUCACCUACUCUAGGGGCUACCAAGCCAGAAAGGAAAUCCACUAGUGUAGUCCUUAUUCAAAAGCUCUCAGCAAACUCCUCGUUUACACUUUAUGACUUAGGACCUACCCAUAUAGACUUCAACGUAGGAACUCCUAUAUUUGAUCCCAUCUCGCUAUCCUAUGGUCAGUCACAGCCCCUGUGACCUAUCAGACCUAAACUCAAACACAGAAGUUGAAGUUACCUUCAAACAAAACAACUAGCACCUUGUUUCACAACUUCGGUGUAGUACACAAGAGUAUUAAACUCAACACGUUAUAACGCCCUAGUCGUUAUUUUAUUUAUUAUUGAUUUAUUUAGAGUCUUUUAUAUGAUUUUAAAUAAUAUUUGUUGAUUAUGUGUUGUGUUAUAUUUUAUUAUAUGGUUUAUUUUAAUAUUAAUUAGAAUAAUGUGAGAAUUAUUAUUAUUUUGGAGGUUGGAGAGUUAAUUAGGAAUUAAUAGAAUUAAGGGGGAUUAAAUGAAAUAAAGGGGAGUUAAGUAUUGGGGAGUUAGGAAAGAAAUAGUCAGAACUGCUUUUACGUGCCAACAGACAAGUUUUGGGAGAAAAGGGAGAAGAGCCAAGUAGAGCCAAGAUAAUCCAAUUUCUGUGCAUUUGCCCUUCUGAAUUAAGGUAAGGGUGAGGUUUACUUCAGUAGUGUAGAUGUUUAAUUCUGAUUUUGGUUUAACAGGUUUAUGGUAGAAAUUCGGAAUUUUGGGGUUUAAGUUGAAUUCUUGGUUUUUGGGUGAAUUGAGUGUAGGAAUUACUGUUUUGAUGUUAGAAAUAGGUUCUGGUUGCAUACAGCAUUUAGUUUUACAUGUGUAAACUGAUUUGGGGAGUGAAAUUGAGAAAAUUGGGAUUUUGGGAAAAACCUGCAUUCUGCCCGUACUGAUGUUCAUCGCUCGCCUCGCGAGUAGUCCUGUCUCGCCCAGCGAGUGAGCAACUUCAUGGCUCGCCUCGCGAGCAGAACCACUCGCCAUGGCGAGUUAGUGAGUGAGAACUUUGAUUUUCAGAUUGUUGUUAUAAGAUGUAAUUUGGUUAGUUUUGAGUACCUAAAUGAUUUUAGAGAUGACUAGGACAAUUUUUAGAUUAAAAAGAUGAAUAGGGAGCUUAAAAAUGAAGAUUUAGUGAGAAAAAUGUCAGAACUCCCGAGAGCACCCCUUUUCUUGUUCGCCUCGUACUUGCCACAGCGAGUAACCUUUUGUCUGAGCUCGCCAUGGCGAGCAGAUGCACUCGCGAGGCGAGUUGCCUAGUAUUUGAGUUGUUUGUUCUGUUUUGAUGAAUGUUGAAUGAACUUGAUAUAUUAGUAUGAUUAUUAUUAAUUUGUGCAUUUUUUUGAAAUUGUUGGAUUGGUUUUGAUGAUUUGCUGUUGACUGUGAUGUAUGCUUUUAUUUAAUUAAAUCAUAUGUUGUUGAAUUGGGAGUUGUAAGUCAUAUAUAUAUAUAUAUAUAUAUAUAUAUAUAUAUAUAUAUAUAUAUAUAUAUGCAUUGAUAAGUUGUAUGUAGAUAUACGCAAGUGGAGUCAAUUGCAUAAACAUAAAAGCGGGAGGGCUCAUGCCCUAGAACCCCUUGUUGUUCAAAGCGGGAGGACUCAUGUCCUAGAACACCUUGUUGUUCAAAGCGGUGAGAGCUUAUGCCCUGAUGAAUGCUUUAACCAUUCAAUAUCCGGUGAGGGCUUCUGCCCUGUAAAUUGGUACCACAUGCAUUGUCGUAUUGUCGCAUUGUCGAGAAGUCUUAGUGGUGUUGUCGAGUGGUUGCAUGAAUCGUUGUUUUUGGUUAUAAUUACCAUUUAUUGUUGAUGUUGUUAAUGAUGAUAUAUUUAUAUAUUGAUGAAUUAUUAUAAUGUUAGGGUGUUAGAUUCAAUUGAUGAAUUUUAUAUCUAUAUUUAUUGUUGUGAAUCUCACCCCUUCUGCUUGAAAAUGUUGCCCUUCCUAUGGGUAACUUGCAGGUGAUCCUGAAUAGUAGGUGGUGGCUCAAUGUCUAGGGCUCUGAUACGUACGGGAUGGGAUUUACUUGUUUAUUUUCAUUCCUAUGUAUCAAUUUUUGGAACAUGCUGAUGUAGCCCUAUCGUUGUUUGAAUUAUUUUGAUGAGACUUUCAUGCCAGGAUUUUAUGGAGAAUUAAAUAGUUGAUGUUUGUAGUUUGUUGUUUUUAAUGAAAAUAUUCCACUGCAAGGUUUUGGUGAAAUUAAUAAAGUUGUUUUUUUUUAAAUAGUUUUAUAUUCUAUUUAAGAAAUUUUGGAAAAGUAGUGUGACAUGCCCGUUUGGGAUAUACUCUGAUGUAUUAUUUAAUAUUUAAUUGCUUUGGGAUAACGGGGUGUUACACACGUAGUCCUAAACAUGUAUCACAAACGAUACAAGAAAGGCUCACAAUAAAGGUUCUAGACUUGCAACACAAACGAUACAAGAAUGGAGCACAUGUAGACUCAAAAUCCUAAAAAUCUAAACUUUUUAGUAUGACGGGUUGAAUAAUUUAUUAGGUCUUGAAGUCUUCCUUAUAUACUAAAGCAGCUUAGGCUAAAUACUUAAUUGCGCUUCAGCUAAUCUGCAAAACAAGAAUCAGAAACAAAUAUGGAAACUCUUAAAAUGUCGAAACAUUUAUAGGAUCGUUCAACCAAUAACAAAUAUUUCCUAAAAUAUAAAAUAUACUUUAGAAAUAUUCCAAAGUUGAUUCUUCAAAGAUAUGCGCAUUGCUUGGUCAAUAAGAUAAGAAAAUAUUGUUUCCUUAAACAAUAAAGAGUGUGCGUACAGGUAGGCAAGAACCCAGGCACACUUAACCGUGUCAGGAUGUUUAAACAUCGUAUCCAACAUCUUACAGAGAUGCCUAAACACAUGUUUGAACAUUGGUUCCAACUUACACAUCAAGGAUAUAUAUUUGUUUUAGCAACAAUGCAACCAAUACAAAUACCCAACAUAUUUGAUUCCCAUCACCUACCAACCAAGUAGUGUUUUCUCUAACAAUUUGAAAUUCCAUUUUGAUACUGCUCCAUAUGGAAGAAUAAAUGUGAUAGUUAAUACAAGAAACACCUCUUAAAAUCCUACUCUUGAGAAUGGAUACCUAUUGUUCCUGUGAAUGCAAUAAAUCCCAGUAGAGUUUAAGAUUAGUGGUUUCAUAAACGUCAUCUCAUAACAUAAACGACACAAAAUAAUCAUCAUCUCAUAACAACAUAAACAACACAAUAUAAACAACAACGAUUAAUAAAUAUUAAUACUUCACUUAGUUCUUUAUUAACAAGUCAUUGACAACAAGUAACCAUCAAUAAUAAUCUUCAUAUAUAACAAUUACAACUUCAUAUCAACAACUUUCACAUAGUAUAGAUCUUUUCACAUUUAAUCAUCAACGUAAAUCAACAAUAUUAAAUCAUCUUAGUCAUCCUCUCUGAACCUCAUUAUAAUCAUUAAAGCUUCAGCCCUACCCGAAAGGUCAACUCAUAACAUCACGUGCGACAAAAGAUCACAAGAAACCUAAACAAGGAUGUUUGCAAUAAGGUUACUCGCAAGGCGAGCCUCACUACUCGCUAUGGCGAGUUCAGGAAAUUGCACACUUGCUAUGGCGAACUCACAACUCGCCAUGGCGAACUGGAAAAAGGUGCUCUCGGGAGUUUUGACAUUUUUCCCUAAAAGGCCUCAUUCUUGACUUCUCUACGUCCAAUCUUGAUCUAAAAACUGGCCCAAUCAUUCCUAAACAGGUUAAGGCACUCAAAACCAUCUAAAACUUGACCUCUAACAUUAAUCCUCAAAAUCAUGAUUCACUCACUGGACAACUCGCGAUGGCGAGCAACUGCUCGCAAUGGCGAGCAAGUUCUGGGUUACUCGCGAGGCGAAGAGGUUUUACUCGCGUGGCGAGUGAUGAGCUUCAUCCCUCGCUAUGGCAAGGAUCAUCACUCGGGUGGCGAGCGAUGAAUGUUGGCUCGGGCAGAACUACAGUUUCCACGAAAAUUCCCUAUUUCUCAUAGUUUUAAGCCUAACAUUGAUUCCUAUAAUCAUCUUAUGACUUAUCUAAAGUCUGUAAACAUAUUCUACAUCAUUCUAACAACUUUUCAUCCAUUAAUCCUCAAUUUCCCUCAUUAAUCCUAAUUUUCCAACUUCUCUAAUUCAAUCCUACACUUGCUAAAUACAAUCAUAUGAAUCAUAUAGGUUAAUAAAAUUGAAUGCUAGUCUCACCCUUACCUUAGAAAUUGAAAUUGCAGCUCUCUAGGUCUUCCUCCCUUCUCUUGACUUUUUCUCCCUUUUCUCCAAAAUUGAUCGUACGUACUCAUUUUUCUAAACUAGGUCUUCUCCUAUUUAUAUCUCCUCUAUUUACUUUAUCUUAUUCCUCUUUUUCCACUAAACUAUUCUAAAUUCCAAAACAGCCCCACAUCUCAAUAUUUAUUUUAUUUUUAAAUCUUAUUCUAUUAAAUACUAAAAUAAGCCUAUCAAUAAAAUAUCAACACAUCACCUAAUCAUAUAAAAUCACAUAAAUCAUCAAAGUGGACUCUAAUCUCAAUAAAAUAGUAAAAUAAUUAAAGAGAGCGUUACACCUAGCGGCGCAAAUAUGAGCAUUAUGUUAUCCUAUUUUAAGUCCACAUUUGAUUAUGAUGCUUCAACAAGAACUUAUAAGGUUGUAACUAUUCGUCGUCAAAAGAACAAAGCUUCAUGGAAAAAUGUGGUUAAAGUUUUCCGUCUUGGUAAUAAUUGUUGGAGAAAUAUAGAGAGCUUUAAUGUGAUUUCUUCUAUUAGAUUGGAUAUUCAAUAUAGACGCCACCUAUGCGCCCUUAGUGAUGGUGUGCAUUUGAGUGGCACUGUUAACUGGUUGGCUAUGUAGAAGCUGAUUACUCAUGUUGAGCAAUUUAUGAUUGUUGCACUUGACCUUUCGACAGAGAAAUACAAGCGGUUUCUGUAACAGCCCGAUUUUUAGCUAGGUUUAUUUUAAUUACUUUUAUUAUGUGUUUGUGUGUGAUUAAUUGUGCUUGUGUGUAAUUAAUUGUCAUCGGGUGCAUUUACGUGGAUUAUCGUAUUAGAGGGGUAUUUUGGUAAUUUUGUGAGGAUGGGUAAAAUUAUAAUUUUUAGUGGGAAUUGCUUUAGUAAUUAGUGAGAAUGGUUAUUUCAUUAAGUUACUAGAGAAAGUCGAGAUUUUACCGUUAGUGACAUUUUACCGUUAUUAAUUAAAAUAUCGUUUGGAGUGUAGUAAUAUUUUUGGUUUGAAUAGAAACGGGUUAAGCCCACUAGAAACUAAGUUAAGCCCAUUAGUAGAGAUAACACUAGGGUAGUGUUAGAAGAACCAAAUCAUUUUCAUUUCACAAAACAUUUCUAGAGAGAGAAAGUGGGAAGAGAAGAUAAGGGUUUGGAGAGAAGAACUUGAAGAAUCCAAUUGGGAAAGCUUAGGAGCUAAAUUGAAGCCUAGGUUUGGUCUAAUCUUCAUCUAAGGUAAGGGGGUUAGUCUUUAUCAUAAUCAUGUUCAUUCUUUGCAAUUUUUCAUGAUUUGGAUGAAAUGGGUUGAAAUGAAUGAAUGGAUAAUUGUUGCUAAAUUCGUGCUCCAACUUUGAUGAUAUGUUUGUAUGCAUGAAUUGAUAAUAAUUGUAUGAUUGUUGGUUAAAUUACAUGUUUAAAUAUGUGAAAAUGAAAAGUUAUGAAAAUUGUGCAAAAUGGAUGAAUUUGACAUGUUGUUGUUGAAUUAUGAUGGAGUGUAUGAUUAUAUGUUAUGAUUGUGGUUGAUUGAUGAUGUUGAUCUCAUUUCAUGACUUGGGUAUGAUUUAUGUUGAGAUGUUGUUGAGAAUUGUGUUGAAUUUGAAGAGAUGAAUUGUGGUUGUUUGAGAACUUAUUGUUUUGAGAAAAAUUAUUUUAAACAAUUUCAUAACUUGUACAAAUGCCCCGAAACGAGCGAGUUCGAUGUGUUAGAGCCUCGGGUUAUGCCUCGGAUCACUUUUGAUGAUUGAGGAUUUUAAACGUUCGAUUUUUGAUCGAAAUUGGCGAAAACCCGCGGCCGAGACACGCGAAAACGCGCGUUUACGGAGCGCUGCGCCUGUAGUGGAGCGCUGGGCGCCCACUUACAGGGAGUCAGCGCUUGGGCGCUGCACCUCUAGCGCCAGGCGCCCAUGACAGGACAACGGGAACGUUGUUCCGUGUCCGGGUGCUUGGGGGUGGUCGUGCAGGGGUCCUAGGCGAUCGUUUUGAAGUGUUCUUUUGCUGUUUUCACCUACUUUUCUACUGGAACACAUUUGGCUUUGUCGAAACUUUAAUUUUCUAAAUGGUUUGAAACUUGAGUUUGUGUCGUUUCGGUUUUUCGGAAAUUGUUGGAACUUGGUCUUGGUGAACAAAAGGAGUUGCAAGCUUAGUCUACAGUUCUUAUGGGCUUAGGCAAUGCUUGUAAGGUUCGUACAAUGUCUUAAUCAUGUCAAAAUUGAUUUUCGGGUGGGAAUGUGGAAUGUUUAAACUUGGGAUUUUCUCAUACGAACUUAGGCUAACCUUUGAACUAAUGAUCGAUAGUUCGUAAGUGGCCUAAGCUCAUACUUAUAUGAUUGAUUAAGAUUGAAUUGUAGGAUUUCAAACUUGAAUAAGUUGCCUAGCUUUGAAAAUUAUCAAUGUUGGCCGUUUACCACAUGAUUUGGAUUUUUGUCGGAAAUGUUUCUUUAGCAAAUUGUUUUGUGAGUUAUUGUGAUUAUUCUUGUAUGACUAAGUGAAGUUGUAUGAAGGAGUGAUUAUAUUUUGGAUAUGAUGUUUAUCAUGAGAUGUUGUUUUUCCCUAUUACUUGGAAUAUGAGAAUGCUUGAAAUGGUGAAACUAUAUGAUAUAGUUGAUGUUGCAUGACAUUGUUGACUAUUGAUAAUUAUGUUGAAGUGUGAUGGUGAAUACUAUGAUUUAAUUGUGUAUGGGCAUGUUUUCUUGAUAAUGCAAUGUUGUGGAGAUAAUCAAUAUAAUUGGGUGUUGUCCUAUAUAUUGAGUUUGAAAUGGUGAUUGUUGUCGCAUUAUCGAGUCCUUACACAUGUCCAUGCAUCAUAGUCGUUGUUGCUGUAAAAGGGAUGACUCUUUUACUUCGAGAUUAUUGUAAGGCAGAGGUGAGCCUUACAUGCGAUGUUGACUUGUCCAUCGGAGGUGACGACCUUGUUGAGAUUUGGUACCGCAUGCAUUUAUGUGUCCAUAAGUGCAUAUCAUAGCAUGAGUCCUAUGUGAAUUAUGUGAUUGGUGAUGAAUUGAGAUGAAUGAAUGUUGCUAAUGAUUGUCUAUGACUGAUGUUGUGAAUGAAUAUUUAUGAUUGGAUAAUUAUUCAUGUGAUUGAUAUAUGUGGAUAUGAACUAGCAAGUUGUGAUAUAAGUAUUUAUGCAUGACUAUUAUUAUUCAAGUACAUGAUAUUAUUGAAUUUGAUUAUUAUCUGGAUUAUGAUAAUGUAAUGCUUACCCCCAGUGGUUUUAACCGCCUACUUGCCUGUAUGGGUGAGUAGACGUUGUGCAGGAGUAGUCUCGGUGAGUCUUUGCUUGGGAUAUCGGGAGCUUCCUCCGAUAUCGGUGUCGUGUCGGCUCUGAUCUAGGCUUGUCGUGUCGGUCUAGAUUAGGUUGUUUAUAUUUUCGUUUGGAUUAUUAUUUUGUUGAUGACUACCCGUCUGUUUGGGUUUUGAGAUUUAUCUUUGGGAUAUGAUUUAUUUGCUCAUGGCAUGUAUAUAUUUGAUCACUCUGAUUUAUAUUCCGCUGUAACUGUUGAGGUUUACAUACAUGUCUAUCGGUUUUUGAAUUUUGAAUAAGACGUAAUCUCUAUUUCUUGAAUAAAUGUAUUAUUCGCAUGUUUAAUUGCUUUAAUAGAAAUAGGAGCGUUACAGUUUCUGCUGCCUUCGGGUUUUAAUGAGGUGCCAUUUCUUGAGCCAGUUCUUAGGGUUCUGAUGGAUUGUCUUUGUUUUUCUUAUGAUUCCAAUACAACUGGAUUUGUUUUAUGGCAUAUGAAGGAGUAUGGAGUUGAAGAGUCUUGGACUCAAUUAUUUAAGAUGAGUUACCAGAAUCUUCCAAUGCUUAAAACUGACCCUGGUUUUCAACUGGCUUGCCUUUAUGUAAAUGGUGAUAUGGUGAUUUUUGAAAAUAAAUUUUGCAACCGGGCCUUUAUCUAUAAUCUAAAAGAUAGAACAGUGGAGAGAAUUUAAAUUAGAAAUUACAUACACUGGUUCAAUCAAGCAAAGCAUUACGUAGAAAGUUUGGUUUGUGUUCGUUGAUUGAAAGUAAGUUUCUCUUAGACAUUCACUUAUUAAAUAAAUUUGAAUUCACUGUUUAUGUAUCCUAGUCAUUAAGUAAUAAUAGAUUGUGUGAAUUUUUUUGAAGAUUGCUUAGGUUUAUUGUAUUGCAAAAAUAUUAUAUAAGAUAGAAAAUGAUUUAUUUUCAAAGUAACUAGCUAGAACUUGAUUAUCUUAAAAUGAAAUUCAUUGUCUACGAAAAUUUCUCAGAAAUAUUUAAAGAUAAAUAUGGGGGUCAUAUCUGUUAUUUGGGGGAAGAAGGGGAUGCAAAUUAGCCUUUGUAUGUGUCAAGUUGGUGGAACGAGUUGAUGUCCAUAGAAGGAGCGGUGGCAUCAAAUUGGUUUAAAAAUGGGGUGGGGAGGAUUAUUGGUGAUGGAGAUUGGACUAGUUUUUGGAAAGACAUUUGGGUUGGAACAACAUCAUUUCAUAACUUGUUUCCGAAACUUUUUGCAAUGUCUACUCAACAGAAGGCCAAAUUUGGUGACCUUUGGGUAGGUGGUGAAGGAGGAUGUGUUUGGAAGCUUCAUCAAAAGAGGAAACGUUUUGUUUGGGAAAGGGAGUUAAUCAAUAACCUCUUGGCUAUUAUAAAUGGUUUUACAAGAUUGACGGAAGAGGAUUAGUGAAGAUUGACGGAAAGUAAUUAAAAAUCUACUAACAAUAUAUAAAAGUUGAAGUACAGCAAAAUUUCGUCAUCUUCAAAAUUGAUCUCCUUAAUUUUAUGUGCAUAAUGAUGAUUUUACAAAAUUUAAUUUAAUUUGUUUUAAAUUAAUUAUGGAUAAUGGUCAUCGUUGUAACAAAUUUUCACGGAUAACUAUAAAACUAAUUAAUUUUUAUCAUAUUCAUAUUAUAUCAUAUCUCUAUCUAACUCUAUAUUCUAAUUUGUUUCUAUCCUAACCAUUAAACAUAUACUUUAUUUUUUGUUUCUAGGGUCUUCUUUUCUUUUUGAUUGAGUAAUCCCAAUGUUUAUCACUUGUCAAAUGGGACACGUAUCAAAUUAUUUUAGUGCAUAUCUUGUUUUAUCAAAUUUUAAUUAGUUUUUCUCCCCCUUGAAAAAAUAUAUUAGUUUUUUUUUUUAACUUUAUCCAUUAACAUUCAGUUUCGGUUUGUCCUCCGUCAAAAAAGAUUUGUUUGUUUUAUAUAAAUAUAUUUUACUCUAUAAAAGUAAAGAAAUAUAUGUUAUGUUCAUCAUAAACAAAACCCUUACUUCUCUUAACAUCCAAUAUAAAACGCUUGCAUCUCUCUCUGAAAUCUUCUCAUCGAUCAACAAUGUCAUGGAUACUGAAACAUAGAGGAAGUUCAUUCACGAAGCAAUUUUCUUUUGUAUUGUGAAUGAAUUUUCCUCUGUGUUUAAGAAUUCGUGACAAUUCCAUAGGAGGUGUGUCGCCGGUAAAUUUCUAACAGUGGAGGGUUCCACAGAGAGCAAGGAAGUUACCUAAUGUUCUUAUUUCUUUCUCUUGUCUUUUAUUUUUUUAUUUUUUUUCCAAUAAAUGUUUUUAUAUUGUUGUUCUGUUUCUAAUGCGUCAUCAAAGAUUAACAAUGUUAUAAAUAUAGAAUCAGGGUGUCUUUUAACAAUUUUAUGAAAGUAGUUAAUUUUUUGAAAACUCUUAUGAAAGUAGUUAAUGCACUUGUAUCAUGUACAAUAUCUUGGUAACAGGACAGUCAUCAUUAUUUAUUUCAAUAGAAUUAGGGUUUCGUUUUUGAAAGAGAUGUUUCUUUAUGAAAAUUGAUAAUUCAAGACGCAUACUUUGUUAUUUGAUCGAAACUUUGAUAACAUUCAUGUGUUUGAAUUCCUGUUUACCAACAACUCAUGAAGGUUCGUUCAGGUGCAGACUUCACCGCAUUAGUGCAACAAAGAAAUCAGCAGCUGAGAAAUCAAGCAAUGUGUGAUGUUCCAAGUUUGCUAGAGUUGCUUCUGCUAAAUUUUGAAUUAGGAGACUUUUUAGAGACUUUUUUUUUUUUAUCUACAAUAAAAAGUUAAUGCUGGUAGCUUUUUAGAGUCUGCAUAUAAUUUUACCUUUUUACUGUUUCUGUGUAUAGGUUUGGUUUGAAUUUCUCAUAUUAUGUUGUAUUACAUGUCAAUUAUGGAGACACAAUCAACUCUAAACUAGAGGAACUGAAUAUGUCUAAAUCAAGCCUACACCUCUUAGAAAUUGUUUUGGCUUCUUCAAAAGUGAAUCAAACAUACACUUAUAUUCGAUAACUGAUUGUGUAGGACUCUUUGCUGAAUUUAGAUAGUGAUGUGGGAUGUAUUUUUGGAAGAGAAUGACAUAGAU
rnacentral:lncRNA from 1 species